AGGUCUCAGUCUGUAGGUGGCUGGCUUCAUGUUCAGAGCAUCAUGGCAGAAAGGAGCAAAGCAGCUCAGGACAUGGCAAUCAAGAGGAGGGAGGGGAAGAGAGAGAGAAAAAGGCUGGGAAGGACUACCAAUGUAACAUUGCAAGAUGAGAUAUAUAUUGUUGCAGCCAUCAUUGGAAAUGACCAUUGCCUACAACAUGGCAGGAGAAUCUCUGAAGAAAUGUUGAAUAAUAAUGGAGAGCAAGCAUUCUAUUCUUGUUCCUUAUUUUAAAAUAAAUGGUUAUGUAUUGUUAAGGAGAUUGAUGAUUGCUAUUGCUUUUGCUAAAUAAUCUUUAUCGAAUUUAA